UAGAGUCGCAAGACCCUACACCAUUGCGAACGUACCUAACGCCGUUGCCUCGGCGGAGGGCGGCCCCCCCACGGGGGCUUCUCCCCGCCGGCAGCAUGCUAAACUCUGUAUUUUUGGGCCUCUCUGAGUAAUAAAUACAAUAAGUUA
rnacentral:misc_RNA from 1 species